GUAAGGGUAUGACAUAUAAUAUGUGAUCGAGAAUUGUCGGAGAUAAGGGGUAUAGUAUCCAAAGUCUCGGGAAGAGUCUGGAUUCCAUCUAAGGAAGUGUCAUCACUAUCAUCCAAAUUAUCAAAAUCUUCAAGUUUAGGUUCAUAGACUAGAUCUUCUAACGGCUCCUUUAUUACAUUCUUUCGUUCUUCCAUGACUAAGGUUCGAUUAGGACAUUUAGAAGAAAUGUGACCAAAGUCUUUACAGUUGACGCACAACAAGUGAGAAGAAGACCUUGGAGUUUCAGAAAUUCUACCCUGAUUUUUCAAAAUUGGAGAACCAUUAGAAGGGGGAGGUCCUAGAAGGGACUUAACGGGAGGAGGUGGAGCCAAUGAAGCCAAAUGAUGAUUAUCAAAAUUUUUACCCUUAUUUUUCAAAAUUGGAGGAACAUCAGACGGGAGAGAUCCUAGAAGGGACUUAACGGGAGGAAGUGGAGCCAAUGACACUGAAGGAUGAUUGUCAAUAUGCUUUCUAUAUGGAGAAGAAGAUCUUGGACUUUCAUGACCUUUACAAUUAUUUUUCCAAAUAGCAGGAACAUUAGACGGAGAAGGUUUUAUGAUAGAGUUAUGAUGAGGCGACGCUAAUGAGAUGGGUGAACGACGAUGACCACGCUUUUCAUAUGGAGUACUAAUAAUUAACUCAUAAUCUCGAGUUAAAGAGUAAGCGUGAUCAAGAGUAGUGACACCUCGAAGGAAAAGCUCGCGCUUAAGAUCAUCUCUUAGACCUUGGCUAAACCUACUCAAAGUCGUGCUCUCAUCCUCAAUUAAAUGACAUUUGGUUCGAAAUUCCUCAAAUUGCGCGAUAUAAUCAGUCACUAAUUGAUUUCCUUGUUUAAGGGCAUUCCAUUGAGUAAGAAUUUCAAAAUUAUCUCGUUCUCGCUCACGAAUCUGAUCCCUAUUCCUAUCCUUACAAUCGGGUCGAAAGUAUUUUUGAUUACAUUGUCGACGAUGUUGUCUAUUAUGGGACACCUUAGAAUUAUCAACAUCAAUUGAAUGAGGGAUGUGUUUAAAAUUUUUCAAACUAACAAAUAGCGCCUUACGCUCUUCAAGAGUAGCGUUCAUUUGAGUUUGAAUAACCGCUAUUUGUCGGGUGAGUGCAUCGAAUUGUGAUGGGUCCAUGUUUAAGGUACUGGAGCUAAAAGUGACAAGAUGACCAAUAUAGUUAUAUGCACUGUAAUAGCAACUUAAUGACAUGCAAUAGGGAGAUCAACGAACAAAAAGUGCAAGUAAUGAAAAAUGAAAAUUUAAGCUAUUUUUUUUUUAAAUUUAAAUUUUGGGAUUAAAAUCCAAAACAAACUAAUACUGUUAGUAUAAGUAAAAUAGCAAAGUAAGGGUCAAAUACUAGUCAAACUCUAAUCACGUAAAAUAAGUGAGGUAAAAGUGGAACUUAUUGAAGUGAAUGGGUCCAAUUAUGUGAGUGAGUUUAGAUAAACAACUAGAUCAGCAGCAGCACAAAAAUUUAAUUGAUGCAAUUUCUAAGAUAAACAGUAAUGUACCAAAGAUAAAUAGAAUGGUAACUCCUCUUUUUGUUCAUCGAAGCGACUAGAUUGAUCAACAGAACAGGAAGAGGUAUCCUGAACAGUAACACGAUUUUUUUUUAUACUACAGAAUGAAAAUACAAUAUUUGGAAUCCCGGGUGUGAACAGUACCCGUGAACAGUACACGAUUUUUUUUUCCUCUUCAACAAGGGCAGAGAACAGAAUGGAAAAAAAUUGUUGUUUCUUAUGCUAAACCUCUUUCAAUUGUGCUGUUUCAACGAGAUUUGGGAGAAAAGGAGAGAUUUUGGAUUGUAAAAAGAAAGUACCCAAGAUUCGGCUCUGAUACCACUUUGAUGCAGGAUGAAAAUGAAUUCCUGCAAAGUAGUUAGAACAAACAGAAUAUAGCAUAACCAGAAGAAGAAGGCGAAAGCAGUAAGAAAGGGGGAGGAACCGGAG
rnacentral:lncRNA from 1 species